UAAGGAGGAAGAGGAGGAGGAGGAGGGUGUGUUACUGAAUGGUGGCUAAAGCCUCCUCGGGACGGCGCUGAGGUGAAACAGGCUGAACCCGACUGAUGUGGCUCCUCUCUCGGUUGGACCCAGUGCCCUAAGCAGCCGAUGAGAGACCCCCGGCCGCCCGGCUCGCAGUAGUCUGAUAAUUAUGUAAGAACGUGACGAAACUCGAGAGGAAGUAGAACCAUGUGAAGCAGAAGGAAGUGUCCUCACUGGUAAAGAUGAGGUAUCUUUUUAAUGCUGAAAUGGACACAGUAAUUGUGAACCGUGUGGUAAGGAGCUCUUUCUAAACUAUGCAGUAACGUAUUCACUGGAAUUUAACAGCCUGUGUACUUCAAAGCUUCUCUUGCCUGUAAUCAGGUGAACAAACCUUCCAAGUCGCUUUGCCAGCUCGAGAUUUGUCAGAGCACUAACACAGCGUUGAAGCAACCCCUGCCACCAGGCAAGGUACAGAAGGGAGAUGGUGACCUGCAACAGGAUGAGAGACCUCACUUACCAGGAUUGGCUCACAGUUAUGCUUCUGGCAACUGACAUUUCCAUUUUGCUCAAAGCUUCAACAUCGUGUCAUCAGACAAAGCCCCAUGAGUGGUGGCAGAGCAAACUCUAGCCUUCAUUUUCAAGUUUGAAGAGAAAAAAAUAUUUACAUGUCUAAAUCCCAGAACCUGCUGUUCACAAGUCACUUUUUGUUGCCCGCUGCUAUAAGCCAUUAAGGCUUCCAAAAGCUCUAAAAGAAAUGGGACAUGGUUUGGGGCAGAAAAAUCUGUUUUAAAUUUGUUUAAAUUCUAUUUCAUUGUGUUAUCUGAAUUUGUCCUACCAGAGGAACCUGGAAGAUGGAAUGUUUCUGUCAUUCCUUACAAUGAAUGAUAGCUUAAAGGGACGGUCAGAGCUUGCAAGACAAAUCUUUGAUCCUCCUUAAGAUUGUUAUAAACUGAAGGAGAAUAUCUUUUAAUUCUUUAGGACUUCAGACUAUUUUUUAAGGAAAAUUAUUGAUUCAUGCAAUGAAUUUUACUGUUUUAUCACACUUCCAAGUCAGUAUUUAUAUAUCCUUUUGGUUAUGAAAAUAGGCAGAUGUUUAACUAUGUGUUCUAAUAUUGCACUGGGCUUUGUUUUUUUUUUUCCUUUCCUGUUUUAGACAUGUUUUCCUGAAUCAGACCCUUGAAUUUAAUGACAAUUAGUACAGUUUCCAGAAAUUUAUUUUCAUCUUAAAGAAUCUAUGUACCAAGUGUGGAAAUGUAGAUGUUAAGGGGGAGCACAAGUAACGACUUUUUUUUUCCAUUCACAGAGGAAACACUAAGACAUCAAGGUUAUUCAAGUAGCCUGGAAAGUUACUAUUUUUCCAAACUGCAAGAAGAUCUCAGAAAUAAUAAGGAUAACAUUAAAACAAAAAUCUAGAGAAAUUGUUUAAUUUUCUUAAAAAAAUAUUGGAACUUGGAAAAAAAAAAAAGGCAUUUCACAGUGAAGAAAAUCUUCAGGCAGAGUUCAGGCAGAGUUAUUAGACACAGUGUUUAGGGUUGCUUGAAAGAAUCAUUCCAGGGGCUGUUCUUUGCUGCUACUGCAGAAGUGUGUUGGGCAUUUAAUCUGUCUUAAUUGCCGUAUCUGCAAAUAGAAGAUAAUAAUGCCCACUUCUGUCUAGUGUUGUGCAGUCUCUAGAAGUUUCCCAGCAAGAGAAAAGUGUUUCAUAGUGUAUGUAAAAUUGCCUGUUGGAUCUUUUAUUUUAAAAUAAAAAAGCCUUCUUUCGAAGAUCCCAUUAUCAUCAGAAUUCUGUUAUCCUCACAAAAAUGUACUUGGCAUUAGCAUGGCCCAUGUUUUGUAUUUCGACUACUAAACUUUCAUGGACAUCAUUGUCUAGCUAACAUCUUAAAUGCUAUAGCUUUCCCAUUAGAUAAGCAGGCUGAUUUCAUUAGUAUUUCUUGAAAGAACAAGGCAGAAAAAAAAAAAGACUUGGAUGGUUGUGAAUGUCUUGUAGAGAAUUUUGGUGGCAGAACUCUUGCCAUAUGACUGUACAUAUUUUAUGCUACAGGAAAGGAAAUUAGUGGAAUUUGUAGAAAACCUAUAUAAAUGUAAAAUGCAACAAACAAACAGUCUUUGCACAGAUUAUACUGGCAGUACUGAUCAUGUCUACUUUGACAAGAGACAAGGAGUAUGCUCAGGAUGGUGUGUCUCCUGGCUCCUGCUCCAUGUUGCCAGCCUUUAGCCCUGCUUAAGACUGUGCUGUUGGGUCUGCCAACAGCCUGGAUUGCUUACCCUGUGUGUUUUAGAAACAGGAAAUCUAAGGGCUGUCCUAGGACGUGUGACAUCGCCAGAUCUAAGGGCUGUCCUAGGAUGUGUGAAAGGAUGUGCCAGCAAGGUGAGUGGCUGGUUGUCACCACAAACCUAUGCAAGGGGACUGUGAAGAAGAUUUCUCUUCUCACAUAUCCUAAGCUACAUCCUAGGCUUGACGCAGAGUGUAGCUUUGUGCUCCUGCAACCAGUCUUGAAAUAUGUUCUGGCCGGUAACAAGGGUCCCAGUUUAUAAGACUGGAGACAUAAAACCCAAUAAUUUGAUUCCUGUUUAAAACUUUCAGCAUUUAGGGUAGGACAGACAAUUAACCAGUCAAAUCCAGAACUAAAAUGUUUUAUCAGAAUAUCAAAAUUAGGAAUGCAAAUUAGGAAUUUUUCUUUUCAGAUUAUCAGUGAAGUGACAAUAGUGUCUGUUACCUGCAGUUUUGCCAGUGGUAGGUGCCAGCUCACAGGCUGAAGAGCAUAUGUAUGAAAUGCUUGUCAUAUCACUGACACACUCUCACAAGAUGCCACCAAAGGGAUUUUGCUCUACUGCAAAAUAAGAAACCUUAAUUACUAUAUGAUAAAAACAGAUGUGUUAUACUUGUUGGUAAAUUAAAGAUUAAAAUAGAGAUUAACCUUUGAUAAUAAUCUUUCAUUUUUUAUCUGUCUUUAAUCAAACUCAGAGUGGUUUAAAUACAUAGGAGCAUCUCUUGGGCUUAUGUUUUAGUUGUGAAAAUGACUAAUUUGUGUAUAUUGUUAUUUAAAGUUACUUUAAUUGCAGUACUUGCAUAAGUUCAAGAAGCAGAAUUUCAUUCCAUCUGGUGAUUACUUAUUUAUUUUCACUAAUCAUACAGUCAAAAAUCAACAAAUUAAAAAAAUAAUUACUGAAAACUUGAUUGAACAUAAUAGAAAAUAUGUAGAAAAUGCAAAUAAUAUGUGACUAAAUGUGUCCAUAUGGAGCCUGAAAAUUUCAACACACUUCAAAAAAUUAAUGAAGAAAACAGAUAGGGAGCUGCAAAUGCAGUGAUUUCCCCAAGAAGCCUAUAUUUCCUACUAUUUCAACUGGUUUAUAUGUCAAGAGUAGACAUAUAUAAACUGCUUUUGAAGCUAUUUACUUUUAUUUUUUUUAAAUUCGUGUAUUAUGUGUACUUACUGAGAUUGAAGCUGUUUAAUUUCACUCCACUGUGAAUCUGUAGCCCAAGUUAAAUACUCAGGAGACCCAGUAUGUAUGUUAAUUUAGUGAUCAAAAAAAGUUUCCAGUUGGUCAUAUUAUGUCCAGCAGUAAAACAUUUUCAGACUUAAGGAGAUACAUGACUCACCUAAGGAAGAGGUAUGUUAAACCAUUUACAGGCUGGUCACUUUCCAAAUCAUGAGUCCUAUCAUUCUGAUACCUUUAAAAUCCACUAAGGUGACUAGCAGGGAAUUACUCAGGAGCCUCUCUAAAUCAACAGCAAGUCUACAAAUGUAUCCCUCUGUAGUGUGAAAUGACCACUUUGUCUCUUGUCCUAGACAUGGAAGCCAUUUUGUAGUCUUAAUAAUUUGGUUUACCUCUAAUACACUAAAAUUCAGAGGGAUUUAUACUGGUACAAUAUAUGAGAUUACAUCAGAAAAAAGUGGCUUUGCUGCAUCGUUACGGACACUCCGACUACGUAAACAACAGGUUGCAAAACUGUUCUUUUAAAACUUCAGUGGUAUGCGAAUGUGCACAUGUGCACAGCAGAUCACGAGUUAUUGCAGUAGAGGCAGUCUCUGCUUCUGCUAUAUAUUUUCCCAACUGAUAUGCUCUUUUUAUUUUUUUUUUGAAGUUGUCAUAUGGUAUAACACUUUUACUAGUUGACUCCUCCCACUUUUCUUCAAACCACAUCCUGAUUUUUGGCCUCAGAAACCAAACAUAUGCACAACUUGCAGAACAACACAUGAUAUUGUUUCUGUAUAACAUCAUACCAGCUGGGAUAUAAAUUCUUACAGACAAUUUUAUGUGAAUGAAAAAUACCUACAUAAAGACAUUUUCCAUAGUUAUGCAAUACAUAUCACAGUAGAGCAUAUGGUCUUGAGCCAGAGAUCUUCACAUAGAAUUAUAACAAAAGCCCCAAAUCAGGCCACAGAUCUUCCGACAAUGUAAUUUUGAAGAGAUCAUUCUAAUUUCUCACUAUUUUAUUUCUUCCUUUUUCUAUUCUCUUUUGGAUUUCUGAAAUCCAACCUCAGCUAGUUUGUGGGCAUGUUGAAGACCCUUAAAUUUUAUCAAUUUCAUUUAUUUGGUGUCAAGUCCAAUAAAAUUGUUGUUUAACUAAGAAAAAGAUAAUUUAUGGUGAAAUUUUAACUGGUACCAUGAUUUGAAAAUAUGCCAAUAGGCAGAAUUCAUUGUUUUUGGGGAAUUUAUUUCAACAUUCAUUUUCAUUAGUAGAAAAGUGUUUUAUUCUUGAUUUUUUCAGUGUUCAGCUUCCAGAAUGUUGGGGUUUUUUAAUUUUGGGGGAUGGUUGUUACAUUAUUCUCCCUUCAGAAUAAAGAGUCUGCAUAUGAGAGUUUUCUCCCAUGAUCUAUAAACUUUAAUCAAGUCAUGCUCAGCCCUCCUUUUUGAUAAUCAAAGAGAUCAAGUUUAUCUUUUCACAGCAAAUAAUUUUCUUCUGCUCUCAAAUUAAUUUUAAAUGCAAUUUUGUGAACUCUCCAUUUUUUUCCCACCAUUCUCAUUAAAAUAUGGACAGCAGAUCUGUGGGAAUUAUUCCAACCGUUGCAUCAGGAUUCAAGGAUUACGUUAGCUCUGCUCAUGCAACUUCACAGUGGGAUCUCGUGUUGGUCCACUAUGGCCCAUAAAUCCUUGCAGAGUCAAGGCAUUCCAAAUCACUGUACCCCCUUUUUUGGGGGGUGAAUUCCAUUUGUAUUAUGUUUAACUGUGCAUUCAUCUCUUCUAAAAUGCUCAUUUUUGCAUUGGGUCUAGUUUGUAAAGAGAUCUCCUCUUCCUUGGUCUCAUAAUUAUGUACUAGCCGAGUAAUCUUUCUGUCAUCUUCAGAUCCUUAGCAUGGCAAUUUGCAUUUGCACCUCUGGAUCACUGCUGGGAAUACUGACUACCAUUGGGCCCAGUACUGAUGCCUGCUAGAUACCAUUAGAAACAAUUCAAUAUUAAAUUUCUUUUUAAUGUAUCUUUUGGUGAUUUGCUGGCCAGCUCUUAAUUGAAAUUGUGUACAUUGAUGCUAUGUAGCAGAUCUUUUAUUUUCUUAAUAAAGUUAUCAUGCAGUAUUUACAAACUUUCAUUAUGUAUUUAUUGAUUAAACAAACAGAAGAUAAACAUCCCGUGGACAGGUGAAAAAAAUCUGUAGACCACGAAGCAGACAAAACACUCAGGAUUAAUAUUCUUCAAUUUUCUUGCACGUGUAACUUUAUUUCACCACUUCAAAAUAUUUCAUAUAUAAGUAAUACUGUUCAUGUUUCAGAAUCGGAGGGAUUCUGAUUUGCCUGACAUGUCUAUCUUAAAAUGUGUAAAGGCUUUCUGAAUUUGUUGAAGCCGCCUCUGGGAAGUUUACAGAACUAAUGGCAGACACUGAUGUAUGCACUUUCUUCAGUUGUUUUUAAGAUGUUUUGCUAAUAGUUUAGCUCUCAGAUUGGGUAAUGUAUUUUCUGUAAUUUGCCACAAAACCAAAAUUCAUAAAAUGAAAUUCUAAUUCUUAAUCCA